rnacentral:tRNA from 1 species
GGAGCCGUAGCUCAGCUUGGUAGAGCGCUUGGUACCCCUGCGCAAGCAGGCCCAUAGGGAGAGGUCGCCGGUUCAAAUCCGGUCGGCUCCA